rnacentral:rRNA from 1 species
GAUGAACGCUGGCGGCGUGCCUAACACAUGCAAGUCGAACGGAGAUUACGGACGGAAGUUUUCGGAUGGAAGACUAUAAUUCUUAGUGGCGGACGGGUGAGUAACGCGUGGGCAACCUGCCCUAUACAGGGGGAUAGCAGCUGGAAACGGCUGGUAAGACCGCAUAAGUCGGCGAGACCGCAUGGUUUUGCCGGGAAAUGAGCAAUCAGGUAUAGGAUGGGCCCGCGUCCGAUUAGCCAGUUGGCAGGGUAAAAGCCUACCAAAGCAACGAUCGGUAGCCGGACUGAGAGGUCGGACGGCCACAUUGGGACUGAGACACGGCCCAAACUCCUACGGGAGGCAGCAGUGGGGGAUAUUGCACAAUGGAGGAAACUCUGAUGCAGCGACGCCGCGUGAGUGAAGAAGUAUUUCGGUAUGUAAAGCUCUAUCAGCAGGGAAGAUGAUGACGGUACCUGACUAAGAAGCCCCGGCUAACUACGUG